AUGAUUUUUUUAUUAUUUGUGAAACGUACUACGAACAAACAAAAAAAUAUUAUAGUCAAAAAAAAUUAAAUCA
rnacentral:misc_RNA from 1 species